rnacentral:misc_RNA from 2 species
AACGCAUCUUGCGCUCCUUGGUAUUCCGAGGAGCAUGCCUGUUUGAGUGUCAUCAAAGUCCUCAAACCACAUUGAUUGUUUUCGGUGUGGCUUGGAUGUGGGGGUUUUCUGUUUUGCAGGCUUUAGAAAUGAAGUCUGCUCCCCUGAAAUGCAUUAGUGGUAUCUGAGCAGAAGAACUACUACAGGUGUGAUAAAUAUAUCUAUGCCUUGGUACUGCUGCAUGAACAGAUUGCGCCGCUUCCAACAAAGAAUUUAUUAUUAUUUUUGGAGACCUCAAAUCAGGUAGGACUACCCGCUGAACUUAA